rnacentral:rRNA from 1 species
GCAAGUCGAACGGUAACGACGGGAGCUUGCUCCCGGGCGACGAGUGGCGGACGGGUGAGUAACACUUAGGAAUCUGCCCAGUAGUGGGGGACAACCAGGAGAAAUCCUGGCUAAUACCGCAUACGCACUACGGUGGAAAGUGGGGGACCUUCGGGCCUCACGCUAUUGGAUGAGCCUAAGUCGGAUUAGCUUGUUGGUGAGGUAAAGGCUCACCAAGGCGACGAUCCGUAGCUGGUCUGAGAGGACGAUCAGCCACACUGGGACUGAGACACGGCCCAGACUCCUACGGGAGGCAGCAGUGGGGAAUAUUGGACAAUGGGCGCAAGCCUGAUCCAGCAAUGCCGCGUGUGUGAAGAAGGCCUGCGGGUUGUAAAGCACUUUCAGUAGAGAAGAAAAGCCUAGGGUUAAUACCCCUGAGUCUUGACGUAACCUACAGAAGAAGCACCGGCUAACUCCGUGCCAGCAGCCGCGGUAAUACGGAGGGUGCGAGCGUUAAUCGGAAUUACUGGGCGUAAAGCGCGCGUAGGCGGUUUUGUAAGUCGGAUGUGAAAGCCCCGGGCUUAACCUGGGAAUUGCAUUCGAUACUGCAUAACUAGAGUACGGUAGAGGGAAGUGGAAUUUCCGGUGUAGCGGUGAAAUGCGUA